rnacentral:rRNA from 1 species
UACGAAGGGGGGCUAGCGUUGCUCGGAAUUACUGGGCGUAAAGCGCACGUAGGCGGCUUUCUAAGUCAGGGGUGAAAUCCUGGAGCUCAACUCCAGAACUGCCUUUGAUACUGGCGAGCUAGAGUGUGGCAGAGGGGGGGUGGAAUUCCGCGUGUAGCAGUGAAAUGCGUAGAGAUGCGGAGGAACACCGAUGGCGAAGGCAGCCCCCCUGGGCUGACACUGACGCUCAGGCACGAAAGCGUGGGGAGCAAACAGG